rnacentral:rRNA from 1 species
GGUAGUCCACGCCGUAAACGAUGUCUACUAGCCGUUGGGGCCUUUGAGGCUUUAGUGGCGCAGCUAACGCGAUAAGUAGACCGCCUGGGGAGUACGGUCGCAAGACUAAAACUCAAAUGAAUUGACGGGGGCCCGCACAAGCGGUGGAGCAUGUGGUUUAAUUCGAUGCAACGCGAAGAACCUUACCUACUCUUGACAUCCAGAGAACUUAGCAGAGAUGCUUUGGUGCCUUCGGGAACUCUGAGACAGGUGCUGCAUGGCUGUCGUCAGCUCGUGUUGUGAAAUGUUGGGUUAAGUCCCGCAACGAGCGCAACCCUUAUCCUUUGUUGCCAGCGAUUCGGUCGGGAACUCAAAGGAGACUGCCGGUGAUAAACCGGAGGAAGGUGGGGAUGACGUCAAGUCAUCAUGGCCCUUACGAGUAGGGCUACACACGUGCUACAAUGGCGCAUACAAAGAGAAGCGACCUCGCGAGAGCAAGCGGACCUCACAAAGUGCGUCGUAGUCCGGAUCGGAGUCUGCAACUCGACUCCGUGAAGUCGGAAUCGCUAGUAAUCGUGGAUCAGAAUGCCACGGUGAAUACGUUCCCGGGCCUUGUACACACCGCCCGUCACACCAUGGGAGUGGGUUGCAAAAGAAGUAGGUAGCUUAACCUUCGGGAGGGCGCUUACCACUUUGUGAUUCAUGACUGGGGUGAAGUCGUAACAAGGUAACC